rnacentral:rRNA from 1 species
GUAUCGAUAAAGAAUAAAAUUCUGGAUAGAUAACUGAUAAUGACAAACUUCUGUUUAUAUGUCUUGACUAAUUCUUGUGCCAGCAGUCGCGGCAACACAAGUAAGACUAGUGUUAUUCAUCUUUAUUAGGUUUAAAAGGUACCUAGACGGCAUUUUAACUGUUAAAAGGUAAAAUUUUUGCUAGAGUUUUAUGUGAGAGGUAAAUAUUAGGACUAUUGGUGUAGAGAUGAAAUUCUUUGAUACUAAUAGAAUGUGUAAUGGCGAAGGUAACCCUCUAUGUAUAAACUGACGUUGAGGGACGAAGGCUUGGGGAGCAAAUAGGAUUAGAUACCCUAGUAGUCCAGGCAGAAAAUUAUGAAUGUUAUAGACUAUAAAGUUAGUGUAUAAAUGAAAGUGUAAGCAUUCUACCUCAUGAGUAAUGUGGCAACGCAGGAAUUGAAAUCAUUAGACCGUUUCUGAAACCAGUAGUGAAGUAUGUUAUUUAAUUCGAUGACCCUCGAAAAACCUUACCACAGUUUGGAUAGUAUUUAUUGAAAUAUUACAGGUGUUGCACGGCUGUCUAAAGCUAAUGUCGUGAGAUUUUGGUUAGAUCCAUUAAAUUAGCGUAAUCCCUUACUUUA